rnacentral:rRNA from 1 species
GGUGCUCGAGUGGCGAACGGGUGAGUAACACGUGAGUAACCUGCCCUUGACUUUGGGAUAACUUCAGGAAACUGGGGCUAAUACCGGAUAGGAGCUCCUGCUGCAUGGUGGGGGUCGGAAAGUUUCGGCGGUUGGGGAUGGACUCGCGGCUUAUCAGCUUGUUGGUGGGGUAGUGGCUUACCAAGGUUUUGACGGGUAGCCGGCCUGAGAGGGUGACCGGCCACAUUGGGACUGAGAUACGGCCCAG